rnacentral:rRNA from 1 species
GACGAACGCUGGCGGCGUGCUUAACACAUGCAAGUCGAACGGAAAGGCCCUGCUUUUGUGGGGUGCUCGAGUGGCGAACGGGUGAGUAACACGUGAGUAACCUGCCCUUGACUUUGGGAUAACUUCAGGAAACUGGGGCUAAUACCGGAUAGGAGCUCCUGCUGCAUGGUGGGGGUUGGAAAGUUUCGGCGGUUGGGGAUGGACUCGCGGCUUAUCAGCUUGUUGGUGGGGUAGUGGCUUACCAAGGCUUUGACGGGUAGCCGGCCUGAGGGGGUGACCAGCCACAUUGGGACUGAGAUACGGCGCAGACGCCUACGGGAGGCAGCAGUGGAGAAUAUUGCACAGUGGGCGGAAGCCUGAUGCAGCAACGCCGCGUGCGGGAUGACGGCCUUCGGGUUGUAAACCGCUUUCGCCUGUGACGAAGAGUGAGUGACGGUAAUGGGUAAAGAAGCACCGGCUAACUACGUG